rnacentral:rRNA from 1 species
UCCUACGGGGGGCAGCAGUAGGGAAUCUUCCACAAUGGGCGAAAGCCUGAUGGAGCAACGCCGCGUGGGUGAAGAAGGUCUUCGGAUCGUAAAACCCUGUUGUUAGAGAAGAAAGUGCGUGAGAGUAACUGUUCACGUUUCGACGGUAUCUAACCAGAAAGCCACGGCUAACUACGUGCCAGCAGCCGCGGUAAUACGUAGGUGGCAAGCGUUAUCCGGAUUUAUUGGGCGUAAAGGGAACGCAGGCGGUCUUUUAAGUCUGAAGUAAAAGCCAUCGGCUCAACCGAUGUAAGCUUUGGAAACUG